rnacentral:rRNA from 1 species
CCUACGGGAGGCUGCAGUGAGGAAUAUUGGUCAAUGGGCGCGAGCCUGAACCAGCCAAGUAGCGUGAAGGAUGACUGCCCUACGGGUUGUAAACUUCUUUUAUAAAGGAAUAAAGUGAGGCACGUGUGCCUUUUUGUAUGUACUUUAUGAAUAAGGAUCGGCUAACUCCGUGCCAGCAGCCGCGGUAAUACGGAGGAUCCGAGCGUUAUCCGGAUUUAUUGGGUUUAAAGGGAGCGUAGAUGGGUUGUUAAGUCAGUUGUGAAAGUUUGCGGCUCAACCGUAAAAUUGCAAUUGAUACUGGCAGCGUUGAGAACAGUUGAGGUAAGCGGAAUGCGUGGUGGAGAGGUGAAAGGCGUAGAUAUCACGAGGAACUCCGAUUGCGAAGGCAGCUUACUAAACGGCAACUGAAAUUGAGGCGCGAAAGUGUGGGUAUCAAACAGGAUUAGAUACCCUUGUAGUC